GACGAACGCUGGCGGCGUGCCUAAUACAUGCAAGUCGAACGCUGAAGGAGGAGCUUGCUUCUCUGGAUGAGUUGCGAACGGGUGAGUAACGCGUAGGUAACCUGCCUUGUAGCGGGGGAUAACUAUUGGAAACGAUAGCUAAUACCGCAUAAGAGUAGAUGUUGCAUGACAUUUGCUUAAAAUGUGCACUUGCCUCACUACAAGAUGGACAUGCGUUGUAUUAGCUAGUUGGUGGGGUAACGGCCCACCAAGGCGACGAUACAUAGCCGACCUGAGAGGGUGAUCGGCCACACUGGGACUGAGACACGGCUCAGGCUCCUACGGGAGGCAGCAGUAGGGAAACUUCGGCAAUGGACGGAAGUCUGACCGAGCAACGCCGCGGGAGUGAAGAAGGGUUUCGGAUCGUAAAGCUCUGUUGUAAGAGAAGAACGAGUGUGAGAGUGGAAAGUUCACACUGUGACGGUACCUUACCAGAAAGGGACGGCUAACUACGUG
rnacentral:rRNA from 1 species